rnacentral:lncRNA from 1 species
AGUUCACUCACAGACAGCAAACCAAGGGGUUGUGCUGUCUCCUUGUCUCCCAGGGAUAAACCCACAUGACAGUUUACAAAAACAGGUAAUCAUAAGAAGCAAAUGGCCCAGAUGAAACACAGCAAAAGAAUGAGAAGUGGUAACACUGGGAGUGAAAUUUGAACCAAGCGUAAAUGGAGUGAUCGUAGAAAUAGCUGACUGUGGAAUGUGGACACUCUCUGUAUCUGCAGCCUGGGAAGCUUAAAGAAGGUGAACUUACUGACACCAGUUAGAAAGUGACUGUGAUGAAACGAUGAAGAUGCUCCAGAGGAAGUGACACCAGCAAUAGGAAAAAAAAAACAAACCUCUCACUGAAGGAACUCUCGGAGAUAUUUCAUGACACAGAAGGCACAAAGGAUACAAUAUUGGCAACUAAUCGAAACUUAGAAAUGAUAUGACAGCUCACCAAGGCAUAGAAAAAGAUGCUUGCUCUAUCAUAAGUUAUAGAAUGAGAAGAAGGAGCUACCCGCAGGAGGGGCAUCUUUCUCCAGAGGCAAAGCCUGCCUUG